GAUGAACGCUGGCGGCGUGCUUAACGCAUGCAAGUCGUACGUGAAGGGGUUUUCGGACUCCUGAAAGUGGCGAACGGGUGAGUAAUACGUAGAUGACCUGCCUUAAAGUGGGGGAUAACUACUGGAAACGGUGGCUAAUACCGCAUAGAGCUGUGACCGUUGGGAGGUUGCAGGGAAAGCUCCGGCGCUUAGAGAGGGGUCUACGUCCGAUUAGCUAGGUGGUGGGGUAAAGGCCUACAAAGGCGACGAUCGGUAGCUGGUCUGAGAGGACGAGCAGCCACACGGGAACUGAGACACGGUCCCGACUCCGACGGGGGGCAGCAGCGAGGAAUAUUGGGCAAUGGGCGAAAGCCUGACCCAGCAACGCCGCGUGAAGGAAGAAGGCCUUCGGGUUGUAAACUUCUUUUGUGGGGGAAGAGAGAGGACGGUACCCUGCGAAUAAGUCACGGCUAACUACGUGCCAGCAGCCGCAGUAA
rnacentral:rRNA from 1 species